rnacentral:lncRNA from 1 species
CCUGGCAGAGGAAGGUUUAUGGUGGCUCCUAGUUCAGCUCCUGGUGGGUCGGCCUCUUGCUCUGGCCUGGGCAGGCCAGCACAUCAUGGCAGACGCACAUGGUAGAGCAAACAGCUCACCUCAUCCCAAGUCAGACAGAGGAAGAGGUAGGGGCUGGGGUCCCAGUCCCUUGCAAAAGCACGUGCCAAUGACCUAAGGACCUCCCAGUGUCUUGCCCCCCACCUUUUGAGGAUUCUGCCUCUGCUGAGUGCACACCUGUGAUCCCAGUGAUUUGGGAGGCUGAGUCAGGAGGAUCACAAGUUUGAGGCUAGCCUCUGCAACUUAGUGAGACCCAGUUGCAAAAAUAAAAGAUUAAAGGGGUUAGGGAUGCAGCUUAGUGGUAGAGCACCCUGGGCUCAAUCUGCAGUAACCCCUCAGAAAGACGACUCCACCACCCCCAACAGUUCCUCCCUGGGGUCCACUCAAGACUAGAGCCACAGCGGCCUCUGCUGCAUGGUGGGAUGACAUCAGGACGUAUACGCCCGACAGGGUUGAUCAAGCCCCUAUCCUGAUGGGCUGGACCAGUGGCCAGUAGUCAGUGUGAGGUCCAGUAGUCAGCCCACAUCAGGGCUGGCGGUGUGGGUGUUCCUCGGGUUCCUUUGCAGGGGCAGAGGUGAGCUGAGGAGCCUCAUCACACUCCUCCUUGGGUGUGAUGCUGUGCCAGACUUACGGUCUGGUGGGCACAGGGGAGUGUCGGAGGCCUCUACAGUGAUCCUGGUCUCCACAGUCCCUGGAACCCAGAUGGUGCUUCACACACUCAUGGAGACCAGAAUGUCAGCGUCAGUCUCAAGACUUGGUGCCACCUCUCCCAGUGCCCAGUGAUCUGUGGACACGGAGGGGACAUGCACUCUUACUUCCCUGGGAGGACCAGGCUUUGGUCACUGACAGCCUCAGGUCUAUCUGGGUAAAGGACUAUGAACCUUUUGGGGCCACUUUCCUAAGCCCACUGACAAUCUGCCCUUGACUUCCUCUAAUGACCCCAACUGACCCAUCCUUGUUGCCCAUCUGCUCUGGACACCAUGUUCCAUGGCUAUCUGUGGGAAAUUCCCCUGGCUGCCCCUCUGAGCAGGCCAUUAUUAUGGCCAGGGCAUCUACCUCUGGUGCUCCCUCACCACCACUUGGUCCUGCAAUCCAUGGCCAUCAGAGCCCAGCUCAGUAAGGGUCUCCCACUGCUGGCCAGGUCUGAGGUCUCUGUGGAGCCCAGCCCAGGGCACACCUGGUCAAUGUGGUGAUUCAUCUUCAGAGACACGGCUCUCCCCAUGCUUCAGAGAGCUGGCCAGGUGGUGUGUCCUGCAGCUGAGAGCACCUGGUCACGAACGCGCGCUUAGAAGCAGGUUCUGCUCCCACCUCUGUGGCUCACAUCUGUGCCUAAAGCUUCACUUGGUUAAAUGUUGAAAUCAAAGUACUUAGAACAUUUGUGAAGUGAAGUCAAGGCUCAGAGGUCUCCUUCUAGCUUAGGACAGAGUUUUUUUAAAAAAAAUUAAUUGUGGAUGGACACAAUACUUUUAUUUAUGUACUUAUUUACUUAUUUAUUGACUUUAUUUAUUUUUAUGUGGUGCUAAGGAUUGAACCCAGGGCCCUGCACGUGUGAGGCGAGCGCUCUACCGCUGAGCCACUACCCCGGUGCCCCUCACAUGCUAGGGGAGCGCUCUGCUGCUGAGCCACUACCCCGGUGCCCCUCACAUGCUAGGGGAGCGCUCUGCUGCUGAGCCACUACCCCGGUGCCCCUCAUGCUAGGCGAGCACUCUGUCCGUAGGACAGAUUUCUGUCAGUGCCUUUACAAAGCAUACCCUACCCAUCCCUCCAUGACAGUGUGCUGGGUUUGGGUCUGCCUUGUGGCACCAACACAGUAUUGUCAUGUGUGUGCACAAGUAGGGUUCCCGUCUUGCUCAUUCUCUGUGGCUAACAGGGGACUGCACUCAGGUGACAGAGCAGGGACACAGGCUCACCAAGCUCUGGGCCCCGGGGCUGGGGCAUCAGAGUCUGGCACUGGCAUCUGCUUGGCCUCUGAGGCUGGAGCUGGGUGGUCACCUGCGCUGGGCAUCCCAUGGCAAGCCAAGCCAGCGAGCUGCUGGGUCUCUCUUGCUCCCCUCAUGGGCCAGCCCCAGGGCCUCCUCAGCCCCACCUGGUUAUUGUGUGAGUCCGGGAGCUCUGGGCACCUUAGGACCACACGGUAUGGUCAUACUGCUGCUCUAGGACUCACGUGUCCUAAACGCCACGCCCCUGGAGAGACCCCACACCCAGAGCUGACUCUGGUCACAGGCACAGGCUGUCUUGCCCACUGGGCUCCCGAAGGGAGUUGAGCUUCCCCAUGGCUUCUGCAAACACUGCCACCUGAGCACCCUGUUCUCGGCUCCCUGUGCCUGUUGGUAAGAACUCCUCUAGGGCAGAUACGUCAGGAGGGUUUAUGAAGGAUUGAGGCCCAAUGAAACCUGAAGUAUGUUUUUUUCACAAAAUUAUAUGAUUUAACCCAUGGAAAUUAAACCAAGAUAAAACAAAAUCCUGAGUGCUCUGAAAUUUUUACAUAAGAUUUAAGCCUGGUUAGCCUCUUCCCACAAGGAAAGCACGGCCUCAGGCCACUCAGCCAAGCAUCCUGAGGGGCAUUCCAAUCCCUUGAAAGCUCUCAGGGACACAAAGACAGAACCUUUCUCAAAUUAUUUCCUGAGGCUAUCCUUUUUUUUUUUUAAGCUUUUUUUUCUUCUUCCUUUUUUUAUACCUUUAUUUUAUUCAUUUAUUUGUAUGUGGUGUCUCCUACAAGGUGAGCGCUCUACCGCUGAGCCACAACCCACCCCCCAUGAGGCUAUUCUUAAUGCAGAAUCAGACAAGGGAAAUAGAGGAAACAAAGGUACAGACAGUCUUCCAUGAACAGAUGCAAAAACCUGAAGAACCACAACCCCAUUCACUAAUUUAUAGAAAAGAUUACCCUUCAUCAUUAAGGUUUUUUUUUUAAUAUGUAUUUUUCAGUUGUAGUUGGACACAAUAUGUUUAUUUUAUUUAUUUUUAUGUGGUUCUGAAGAUCGAACCCAGGGCCUCGUACCCGCUAGGUGGGUGCUCUACUGCUGAGCCAUAAUCCAAGGCCCUUUAAGUUGGUUUUAUCUCAGGAAAAUAAGGAUCUUUUUUAGUAACAGAGAAUAAUUAUAUUGAUAAAAUAAAAAAUGAUUAUCAUGCCUACAUAUGUAAGCAACUAGCUCAAUAAAACUUGGCAGUCGUGUGUGUUAGGGCUCUUAUAAAAGCCAGGAAAGGGCAGGAGCCUUCCUAACUCAACAGCAUAGCAAACACACAGACUUGGCAAUGGUGAAACAUUCCCUCUGAGAUGAAGAGCCCCGAUAAUCCUGACCGGGGAGGCUGAGGCCAGCCUGAGCAACCAAGUGAGACCCUGUCUCAAAAUAAAGAGGACUGAAGAUGUAGCUCAGUGAUAGAGCACCCCUGGGUUUGAUCCUCAGUAAAUGCCCCCCCACCCAGAGGAACAAUCACACUGUCACACUUUUAUUAAAAGCCACUCACAUGGAUUAACUAAGUUCUUAACCAAUGCAAGAAGACAAAAAGGCAAAAAAUGUUGCUUUCAAAAUUUCUUACUUAAAACCGACAUUUAUAUGUCAAUAGGUACCCAGACAACCCAAGUCCAGGGACAGAAUAUUCUUAGUGAAGGUUACAUGGGCAGCAUCAUACCACGGACCUGAAAUCGGGUGUGUCCCCUCUCACUGCAGUGGGGCCCAGAGGGUCCCAAUCAAGUCCUGAAGAAGGUGGAUGUUGUGUCUUAGAUAUGAAGUGUCCCACAAAAGGUCACGUGUGAGACAAUGCAGGAACAGACAGAGGUGAAGCGAUUAGAUUGUGAGGGUUAUAACCUAAUCAGUAGGUUAAUCGCCGAUAGGGAAACACUGGGCGGUAGCUACAGGCAGGUAAGGUGUGAUUGGAGGAAGGAGUUUGAGGUCUACCAUCCCUGGUUAGCAGACUCUUUCUGCUUCCUAGCUGCCAGGUCUUGAGCCGACUUCCUCCACCAUACCUUUCUGCCAUGACGUUGUGUGGAGGUGACCAAUCACUUGGCUCUGAAGCCAUGAGCCAAAAUAAACUGUUCCUCCUCUCCAUUAUCUUUUUAGUUAGGUCUUUUGGUCACAGUGAUUCAAAAGCUGAUUAAAAUACAAAAGGGGGGUUGUGGUUCAGCAGUAGAGCACUCGCCUAGCACGUGCAAGGCCCUGGGUUCGAUCCUCAACACCACAUAAAAAUAAAUAAACAAAAUAAAGGUAUUGCGUCCAACUACAACUAAAAAGUAAAUAUUUAAAAAAAUACAAAAGGGUACCAAGAAGUGGGGUCAUCACUAUUAUGGUCACUGUUGUUCUGACCACGUGGUUCAGACGCCUUUGGAGUUGGUUUGUUGAAGGAAGAAGUUUGAAGGGUCUAGAGACUGCAAACUGGAAAGCUUUACAAUGUUGUCUGUGGAGCUUAGUGGGAGAUUCCAGUGGGAGAGCAGGAGACCAGAAUGCAGUAGGGUGUGGACACUAAAGACUGGGCUCAUGAGGUUUCAGAGAAGGAGGGCUCUACUGGAAGUUAUACUAGAAGCCAUUUCAUGCAUGUUCUGGCAAAGAAAUUGUCUACGUUUUGCAGAUGCCCUGAGAAUUUGUGAAGCUGAAUUUAAAGGUGAUGGACUAAUUAAUCUGGCAAAGGAAAUUCCAAGGCAGCACAGCCUUCAUGUGGUGGAAUAAGUAUCACAGGCAGCUUUUAACCAAGUUUACUGUGAUAAUCAGGAGGAGAAAGCAGGGCAGAAAUAUUUGAAAAACUUGCAGGUUGGCCAGAAAAGUGCAAGUAAAACUGGGACUAAGGAAGUUGUGGAUGUUAAAAGAGAUCAGUCACUAAAGAACUGGCAAGACCACACCUGUCUUAGGAUCAAGGGUGUAAAGUAAAAAUUCCCUUGAGAAGAAACCAGUCAGUGGUGCACCCUGUUUGAAUGGGGGGUGGGGUGCUAGCAAAUUGUUUCAUAGCUAAGAGCUACGGAGUCAGCUGCCCAUGGAUUAAACCUCUGAAACCAUGAGCCAAAAUAAACUUGUCUACAUUGUUCUUGUCACAUCUUUUGAUCAAUGAAAAACCUGACUAAAGCAGUGGUGCCACAGACACCUGACAAGUGUGAGGGGGACACCCACACUGCCUCCAUGUAUGUGCACCCCUCAAUGUGCAGGAGGUGGCACAGCAGUGAGGACAGCCCACCCUCCAGUACAGGAGGUCUAAGACAUCAGAUCUCGGAGGUGGUGUCAGGAGAUGCAGACAGGGUCCUCACCAUCUGCCCUAUAAACCCACGAGGGGCCCCACCUCACAGACAACCCAAGGGAGCCCAGCCACAGCUCUGCUGAGCAGGUGGUCCAGUCUCAGGGACAGCAGAAAAGAGGGGUUGGAACAGGGACAACAGCAUUCCACCACAGUCUCACCUAAGGCUGUGCUGGCCCCCGUCUGCUCCAUCGCAACUCAGCCCUUUCUGACUCCUACCUUUGGUAGCAUGACUUUGACAACCAGGAGUGGCCAUCUUGAAGAGCUAAGACCAUGAUCCGGGGUUCAUCCUGUCAGUGAGAAUUUUAGGGGUGCUGAGGUCUGUGUAAGACCUGGACAUUGUCCCCAGGGAAAGGACACCUCUUGCGACACUUCCAAGAAAACCACCACUGGCUGGCACUGGUUCUGGAAGCAGAGCAUCCUUCACACAGGUCCAUGGAAGGCUGCCCACCUGAGCAGGACCACAGCAGGACAGUGCUUGCAGACGGGCCAGGACACUGGGCCCCACGGACCAACAUCAGAGGAACUGGGGGCAGGGAUCAGGACGCAGAUGUCCAGGGCACAGGGUGAGGCCACAGCAUGGGAUGGAGACGGGUGGGCCAUAGCUUCCGAGAGCUGCCUUCAGGCUGCGGGCCCUGUUAUAGCCUCUAGUCAGCUGGGACUAGGUAAAAAUACAGAUUCUUGUCAACAGGGACCAGGGACCAGUGGUGCCCCCCAGUUCACAAGUGGAGUCCUAACCUUCUAGACCUCCUGGAAAUGGGGUCCUUUACCCAAGUAACCUGGUUAAAGUGAGGCCAUCAGGGUUGUCCUGAUCCAGAACAGCUGGAGUCCUUGUGCAUGAUUUAGACCCAAAGAGGGAGAAGGUGGGCAGCAUGGAGACCAAGACUGGUUGAUGCUUCCACAAGCCCAGGACACCAGGAACUCCCGGCUUCCAGGAGCUGGGGGAGGCCAGACUCUCUCCCUCUCAGCCCUGUCCACUCCUUGAUCUGGGACUGCCAGCCUCCAGGGCUCUGAGACAACAGCUCUGCUGUUCGCCAUGCCUGUUGGCGGCUCCGACUCACAGCAGCCUUGGGAAACUAAGGCGUCAGGUGGGGGUGGGGGACUCCUCCCCUCCCGUCCUGGUUCUGCACAACAGGGCAUCGGGAGCACUCCCCAGGUGGCUGUGGGGCAUUUGCCCCUGUGCAGCUGGAGCAACGGUCAUCUGUCCUCAUCACUGGCCACCAAGAUCCAAAGGACCUGGGAGAGAAGGGAGAGAGGAUGCGGAACCAGCAGGUGAGGCUGUGGGAUGGCAGGAGCGCACCCCUGUUGGGUGAGGCUGGGCCACCGGGGGUGGGGAGGACCCUCCUGUGUGGUCAGGGUGCACGCUGGUGUACUGUCUCCUUCCUCUGCCACGCAGAGCCAGCUCUCCUGCGCUCUUUCAUGUCCGCUCGAGUCUGGUGCCUUGUCCAAGGCUGAGGCCACGGUGGCUGCAGACCAGCGGAGGGUCACCUGCCCCAGGGAGGCACGCUGGCAGCAGGGCUCAGGAGCUGCUGGGCUUCAGCACUCCUCUCCCCUCUCCUCCCCCUCCUGCCGGCUCCCCUCCCUCAGCACCGCACUCACCACAGCGCCCACCUUCCUGCCGGCACAGGAACCUGCUGUCCCCUGGCCUGUCCCUCAUGCUGCCUGCCCAUGCCACACCACAAACGCGCACGUGAGCACACAGACAGACAGGUGUCCUCACUGGUGGUGGGGAGAAGUCCCUGACUGCAGGCCUGGGAGGCAGGGUCUGAGCUGCCGCUUCCCUCCUGUGGCCCACGACCCAUCUGUUAGCGGCACACCACCAGCACAUGGCUCCGGAGGAAGUCUGUGUCCUUCAGGUUCAGAUCCAGGGCACAGAAAGGCUGGGCUCAGAGCCCAGGCUCCAGCUGGCAGACUCCAACCUGCAGGAGUCUCCUGGCAGGAGGACACAGCACAGAGCAGCAGCUCAGGACACGGCAGCCAGGGAGCAGAAAGCUCCGCUCACCCAGGGCAAGAUCCAUGCCCCACAGGCCACCCCCAGGGGCCCACCUCCUCCAGCCACACGCCACCUGACGCCACAUCAGUGGACUAGUCCAGUGAUGAGGUCACAGCUCUCCUACUCCAGCCAUUGCACCUUGGAACACUCUUGGUUGGCUCACCAGGACCUUUGGGGGACACCUUGUACCCAAACCCAACAAGGACCUGGAGUGGAGGGAGCAGUGCCUCCUCUCAGAGCCUUCACCCAGGACUGCGACCCUGCGAGCCCUGCCGCAGGCGGUGGAGGAGCAGACACGUCUGUGGCAGCUGCAGCUCAGAAGGUCCUUCUGGAUUCUGCCUGAAGGUGGAGGGUGGAGCACCCGCGCUGCUGCCCCACAGCCCAGCACGGCCAGCCUGCUGCUCACACGGCACAAGCCACUAGAACCACGAAGGGUGAGGAAGAGGGCUGUGUCGAUACCCAGGGAAGCCAACGCCAAGCCGCACCACAGAGAAAACAGCUCUGCCAAGGUCCUGUGGGCAGGCACCGGCGGCCCCUGCGGCUCUGAACGCAGCAGAGAAAGAAGUUGGGCAGAAAGACCCCGAGCACACAGGGUGCUGUUGCACCAGCUCGGGUGAUGAGGAACCCACGGGCAGGCAAGGGCAGCAGGCACGCCCACCCAGGCUCAGGGCCAGGCCCACAGCAGCCCCUCCAGAGCACGGGGUCCACUCACCCUGCAGCUGGCAGCCUCUCCUGCAGAAGCCCGCCCUGAGGCCAGAGGCAGCGGCACGCCUGCUCCAUAGGCAUGGGGAGCCCCGCCAGGACGGGGUGCAGCCUUCACUGCACUCAGGCCUCUCCAGGAACAGGAGGGGUGCCCACCUUCCAGGGAAGGAAUGCUGCACAGCACAGAGUGCUCCUGUUCUGAGAGCCAGGCACUCAACACUUUAAGGAAAUAACACUUAAAAUACGAGGAAAUGUACGUUUCUCAAAUAUUCCUGUGAAAAUUCAACUCUCGCACCAUGUGAAUAUAUUUAUAGAAAGAUAGAUUUUAAAAACAAUGGGUACAAAUCGAGGAUAAAAGUAAGCAAAUAUAUGACCACAUGCUCAGGUGGGCAGGACAGCCCAACAGGACCCUGGGCCCAGAGACCACCGCAGGUCUGGAGUGCUUCUCAGAGGCCUGGAGCCCCGGUGGCGAGUGGGACACCUAUUGGGGGUCAGGUGCGCUGCUGUGCGACCCAGGGUGUCCCGCCCUAGACCCCGGAGUUCCUGUUGCUGGCAGGGUUCAAAGCCAAGAAGCUGAAGCCCUGGACGGGAAGGAGACAGACUCACGUUUACCCUCCACACACAUACGAACACACGCGCGCACACACACACUAAGGAGACAGACUCACGUUUACCCUCCACACACAUACGAACACACGCGCGCACACACACUAAGGAGACAGACUCAUAUUUACCACACACACACACACACGCGCGCGCGUGCUACAUGAUCACCACAUACCCCUGCUCAUACUUGUGUACUCUCACCUCCUUACAUGGUCCUGGGUGCCCACAGGCCUUGCCGACAGUCGAGGACCACUGCCAGUGUGAUACCCCAGGCCAGACUGUCACUCAAACACCCCAGUCCUGGGAGGAUGGAUGACUCCAGGGUCAGGGCAGGAGGGGUGCAAGAGGAGCCUAGGCCACUUGCCACUGCAGACAGCAGGGCCCCAGAGCCUGCUUGCACACCUGAGGACUCAGGACCCGAUCUGACACAGCCCCUGGGGCCAGGAACUGUGCACAUAUGAGCAAGGACUCUACAACCCCAGCCCAGUCGUCCAUGUUUGUGUUAAGCAGGAAACUUAAGUGCACCGAGUCCCCUUUCUAGGGUGGUGAUAGACCAGGCACUCCCGGGCAGGCGAGCUGAGGUCAUGCUCAGGACACAGGCUGACAGCUUC